rnacentral:misc_RNA from 1 species
GAUGAAGAACGUAGCGAAAUGCGAUAAGUAGUGUGAAUUGCAGAAUUCAGUGAAUCAUCGAAUCUUUGAACGCACAUUGCGCCCCUUGGUAUUCCAUGGGGCAUGCCUGUUCGAGCGUCAUUUGUACCUUCAAGCUCUGCUUGGUGUUGGGUGUUUGUCUCGCCUCUGCGCGCAGACUCGCCUCAAAACAAUUGGCAGCCGGCGUAUUGAUUUCGGAGCGCAGUACAUCUCGCGCUUUGCACUCAUAACGACGACGUCCAUAAAGUACAUUUUUUACACUCUUGACCUCGGAUCAGGUAGGGAUACCCGCUGAACUUAAGCAUAUCAAUAAGCGGAGGA